AGAUUUCGUACUGCAGACUGCGGUCAUGGUGUAGCUCUUCCAAGCCACAUGCACACGUUGGGCAAGAGGUGAUCGUAUCAUUGUAGAAAGUGGAGAGUGAUACGCAGCAAGUUGGGUUCUUAGAGGCCAGAAAUUGUGAGUAAGUGCAGGUUACAUUCCAUGUCACUGUAUCAGAGGCAGCAUAAAUCAACUUCAAGAGAUUUAUCCAGAACAACACUCGAGGAUGAGUAGAUUCUGUGCAACACAACAUUGUUAAAUAGAAACAAGCUUACUCAGUGCUUGAGUUUUCCGUCGACGAUCAGGAGUAAGGAAGACAGUAGAAGGCACAACCUUUGCAGGUCCACAUGUGUAUCCUGGUCCUGGACCGAGCAGUGUGAAGUUUUUUGGCAACUUUACAGUUUUGUUUGAUGUGCCGGCUAGCCCAACACUCACCUGAAAGGCAGAGACCGAACUUGUUGGAUCCUGUCCCCAGGAUGCCAAUACUCCACCUUUGCAGCAAUUGGAGAAUUGUUGAUUAUAAGGAACACCAGGGAGCAAAUCAACAACUGUUGGGGUUUUCUUGCAACAGUGAGGGACAUUUCCUUUGAACUUGGAACAAUCUCCUUGUUCCGUUGUCUGAGCUCCCACCAUUGACCAUAUUACUUCUUUCUUGGCCCAUGACCAGCCUAGAGUCCAUCCUGGUGAAUUGAUAUGUCGGUACAUCUGAAAGUUGUUCAUCGUCACCACAGCCUGUUACAGUUAAAAAACAUUCAAGGUCAGUAUGGCAAUCGGGGGAAGGACGAAACUGGUGCUGCAUGAUUUGCUAUACAUGUAUCGGUUCCAGAUGAAUUUAUAAGGUGAUGUUUCGCAAUCUUACAACAUAUCCGUCUGGCGUCCAAGAGACUACAUCCCAUUUAAUUGUUAUGUUUCCAUUUGGAUCCAACGGAUCGUAAGCCCCUGUUGAAGAUCAACACAAGCAACAAUACAUUCAUAAACUAACAAGACCAAGAAAAUUUGAAGAUCUUUCUCUAGCAGUAAACGAGCACAUACCAGUUGAAUAGAAAGCUGUAAAGAUAAGAAGUGCUAAGAGUGCAAUCUUUUGCUGUCGAGGCGAGUAACAUUCCCAUUGAAAGAGAAUUUUGUGUAAGGAAUGAUUAUAGGUAUUAACUUCCAUGGCUUGAAAGCUUUUGCAGGAUCAAAAGCUUCAAUCAACUUAAAAACUCAGAUAGCUGGUACCAUGGAGUUGGAGAAAAUAGAGAAAUGAAGAGACCAAUAUAGUUCAAGAGAACGCAAGAAGAUGUCUCACCUCUCACCUACUGUAUUUCUGCAUCUUGAAGCAAAGAUUUUAGAGAGGAAUGAUGCAAAAGGUCUGGACAUGACUUUUCAACUGUCAGUGUUCUCACAAGGCAGAUGUGCUGAACCCAGGACCUGAGUUCAACUGCUUCAAAAUCAAGUUUUCCUCCCAUUUAACUACAAGUAAGUUUUAGCUUAAGAUCAUAUCCUGUCCAGUAUAGUUAGUUAGGUAGGAGUCUAACAGCCCAUUUCGAUUGAAUUAAGAGAACUUUUUUUAAAAAAAGUUAUUUAAACUCUUCUAAUAAAAACUUUUUAAAAUAAACUUCUAAUUUAAUACUAAUGUAAUUUAGUUGGUUUUUGAAAAGAGUUCUUCCAUCUAUUUAAGGAUCAUAUUUUCAGAACAUGAAGCUUUGUCUAUCAUUUCCAUUUCCCUGUUUGGAAUAUAAACAAACAAGAAUCAUCCUCCAAGGAGACAUACUUUGGAACAUUAUAGUUAUCAAGCGCUCCAUAAAUGAUUGAUUUUAAAAUGUUGAAAAAUAAAUUAUUUAAAGUCGUAAAUGAUCCAAAUUCGAGUUUGUUUGAAAAUGAAUCUCAAAGCUUCAACCAAAUUAAAAGUUGUUAUUGAAAUAGUUUCUCUUCACUUAUUAUUAUUGUUCUUUUUUAGUAAACUUAACUUAUUACUUGUUUUUUUUUUCUUCUUUUAAAAUAAAAAAGUAGAUGUGCCAUCCUGAUCUUGACAAUGAUUUAACAACCUUUUUUUCUUCUUCUCACUAUAUAAUUAUAAACAGUUUAUUUUAACCUUAUAGUUGUGAAAACCAUAUUAAACCUUCUUAGAGUGAGAGAGGACAACAACUAUAAUGCUUUAUUUUGCUUCAUUUUUCCCAUUCUUUUUUCUUCUUAAAUCUCCAACUGGGGUUGAUUAUAAUAUAUCAUUAAAAUCAUUCUGAACAGCAAAA